CUGCGCAUGAAUCCCGGCGUUCGGCGUUCUCAUCGAGGUCAUCGUUUUCAAUUGCGGUCCAUCUUGAAAGUAUCACAAUUACAAUAUAGAUGUUCUUCAAUAACCAACGGUGAAGUAGAUAUAGGCGGGCAGUGAUUUGUCCUCGGCGUAUUGAUGAACUUAUGUAUAACAUAUUCAAUAAGAUCACACCAAUCCUAAAAAGGCAUUGACAGUUGAAGCAGAGAUAACACCACUGAAAUAUGCUCGGCUGAAAGAGGGUGGAGAUGUGCUCCAGGUCGCCACCAAUGUGAUGCAUCAUCGUAAAGACGCAAUUGUUGACGAACUCACCGUUCUCCUUGAAAUAUUCGAGGAGCAGCCCAUAUUGGCGCAUGAUCUCAACUGUCGCGAACCUGGAACGUAUAAGUCAGAACGCAUUAUUCGCAUUCGCACGUGUACACACACGCGCCGAUAAUAAAUCCUGCAAAUGCCACCUGGAACAUCAGUAAAUAAGUUGCACGUACCCGAGCCACGCGUAUUAUACUAGCCCAUGCCCAGUCCGUUUAUAUCGUUCGCCUGCUAGUUUAGAUUGCAAGCACAUUUGAAACUGAAAGACUUACUGUUUGAGAUGUUCCAUUAUACUGUUGGAUCGUUCGUCGCCUUUGCACGUAUUGUCCAAGAACAACAAGUACGUGUGGUUUGUAACGAUCAGGUCCUGCAGGUACUGCCGACUCUGUAGGCUAGGAUUGUACUGCCGCAAAAGAAGAAGGAACAAACGCUUGAGGUCUUGCGUCUGAAUAAUCUGUUCCUCAAGGCGCUUGAGUGCUAUACGAUCUUCUUCGGACAGAUGUGUUAAUUUGUGAUAGGUUUCUACCGCUUGUAGAAACUCUCGUAUGGCAGUGACCACCUUCAAACAAAUAAGUUGACUGGUUAAAGCUCAUAA